GAUGAAGAACGCAGUGAAAUGCGAUACGUAAUGUGAAUUGCAAAUUCAGUGAAUCAUCGAGUCUUUGAACGCACAUUGCGCCCCCUGGUAUUCCGGGGGGCAUGCCUGUCCGAGCGUCAUUGCUGCCCUCAAGCACGGCUUGUGUGUUGGGCCCCGUCCUCCGAUUCCGGGGGACGGGCCCGAAAGGCAGCGGCGGCACCGCGUCCGGUCCUCGAGCGUAUGGGGCUUUGUCACCCGCUCUGUAGGCCCGGCCGGCGCUUGCCGAUCAACCCAAAUUUUUAUCCAGGUUGACCUCGGAUCAGGUAGGGAUACCCGCUGAACUUAAGCAUAUCAAUAAGCGGAGGA
rnacentral:misc_RNA from 1 species